rnacentral:rRNA from 1 species
AAAGCGUGCGCAGGCGGUUUUGUAAGACUGUCGUGAAAUCCCCGGGCUCAACCUGGGAAUGGCGAUGGUGACUGCAAGGCUAGAGUUUGGUAGAGGGGGGUAGAAUUCCACGUGUAGCAGUGAAAUGCGUAGAUAUGUGGAGGAACACCGAUGGCGAAGGCAGCCCCCUGGGUCAAAACUGACGCUCAUGCACGAAAGCGUGGGGAGCAAACAGGAUUAGAUACCCCUGU